rnacentral:pre_miRNA from 1 species
UAUAUACUCCCUCCGUCCGGAAAUACUUGUCAUCAAAAUGGAUAAAAAGGAUGUAUCUAGAUGUAUUUUAGUUUUAGAUACAUCCCUUUUUGUCCAUUUUGAUGACAAGUAUUUUCGGACGGAGGGAGUAUAAU